GUCUUUGAACCCACUGUGCACUCCUAGUGUAAAUGGCAGAGACAGCCACAGAAUUUUACCUUCUCACUGGGAAAUUAUUUUCUCUCUGUGUGUUUUGAUGGUGACAGGCUUUCUUCCAACUUGCAGUUCUUCCUCCUUGGGGGAAUAGAAAUGUAAGGAAUAAUUUCUGAUUUGAUAUUUCCUGUUCUACUCACGUACCACUGCAGUUUAAAGACUAUCUACCAAACUAGCUAACAACCCACUUUCAAAACUAUACUUUGGGAAAACAGAAGGCCAAGGGGAAGAGAAGAAAAAGUCUCUUCAAAGAAUACAUUUGAGGAUAUACGUGAAGUAUUUGGAAGAAGAGAUGAUUUGCUAAUUCUACUGGGCACAUAACAUUGUAUAAAGCUACAUUGAUGUGAUCUGGGUUGGGAAACUGAGACUUGGAGAGCUUAAAUGGUUUGUGAUUCCAGGAGCUGGACAUUGACCCCAGGUCUGUGACUGCAGUGUCAUGGUUCCAAAGCCCUGUACCAUGGCCAGUGUCACAAACAUUUUCAUGAUCACCCACAAGGGGCAUCAGGGUUGUAAUGAUAGACUUUCCCUUUCUUUUUCUUCUAAAUAGUACACAGUAGAGUUCUUAACUCAGAACUUAAUUGAAAUAAAGAGCCAUGUAGUUUGUUUAUCAUCAGUGACAUUUUACUGAUUAUUUUCUUCAUUCAAUGAAUACAAAUGUUUUUUACACUGGUUUCAGCUGUAGCAACUCUGUUAAAAUAUCCAGUUUGUAAACCUGCAAGUUUCUUUAAAAAAGAUGGCACGGACACUCCAGCAUGCCACAGGGCUGUUUUGUAUCCCCACCCGCCCAUGACAUGGGCGUUGGAGGACCCUCAUCCAAGAAGUAGCAGGAGAAGGUGGGGGAUUGGACCAUAUGACGGUUUAUAUUUCUUAAUAAAUCUUUACCACGACA